rnacentral:rRNA from 1 species
GAUGAACGCUGGCGGCGUGCCUAAUACAUGCAAGUCGAGCGAACAGACGAGGAGCUUGCUCCUCUGACGUUAGCGGCGGACGGGUGAGUAACACGUGGAUAACCUACCUAUAAGACUGGGAUAACUUCGGGAAACCGGAGCUAAUACCGGAUAAUAUAUUGAACCGCAUGGUUCAAUAGUGAAAGACGGUUUUGCUGUCACUUAUAGAUGGAUCCGCGCCGCAUUAGCUAGUUGGUAAGGUAACGGCUUACCAAGGCAACGAUGCGUAGCCGACCUGAGAGGGUGAUCGGCCACACUGGAACUGAGACACGGUCCAGACUCCUACGGGAGGCAGCAGUAGGGAAUCUUCCGCAAUGGGCGAAAGCCUGACGGAGCAACGCCGCGUGAGUGAUGAAGGUCUUCGGAUCGUAAAACUCUGUUAUUAGGGAAGAACAAAUGUGUAAGUAACUAUGCACGUCUUGACGGUACCUAACAGAAAGCCACGGCUAACUACGUG